UACGUAGGCAGCAAGCGUUGUUCGGAGUUACUGGGCGUAAAGGGUGCGUAGGCGGCCCUGUAAGUAUGGUGUGAAAUCUCCCGGCUUAACUGGGAGGGUGCGCUAUAGACUGCGGGGCUCGAGUGUGGGAGAGGAAAGUGGAAUUCCUGGUGUAGCGGUGAAAUGCGUAGAUAUCAGGAGGAAUACCGAUGGCGAAGGCAGGUCUCUGGGCUGACACUGACGCUCAUGCACGAAAGCGUGGGGAGCAAACAGG
rnacentral:rRNA from 1 species